rnacentral:lncRNA from 1 species
UAAAAAUUCCCUUGGGGUAAUUGCAGGAUAAACAUCUGCAGUUGGGGCCAAGCAUCUGAAGGAAUCCCUCUAAAAACCAGAAAUGGCUCAACGCACAACAAUACGCACAGUAAAAAUCAUAAAGAGUCCAAAAUCAGAAUAAGUAACAAAUUAAACAACACAAAAAUUGAAAAUGACGAUAUUACAAAAAUCAACAAGGGACUACGAACACAUUACAACAUGCCAGCUCCAG